CAUUGUUCGAUCGGUCCAUCGACGUUCGAUCACGAUCUGCGUUGUUGCGAUCGAAACAUCGUCGCGGAUACUACCGAACGCUUUCCCUUGUCUUUUUAUUUAAGGAGUCCUUUGUUCUCGGUGGAUUGAAAAAAUCGAUACUUGGUUGCAGCUUUUAUUCGACGGUACUAUCUUCUUCUCGAUACCACUGGCCCGACUCGAUUUUUAAGUUUUUGUUCGAAGCCGACCCAUCCACGAGCGCAGAAACGUGAGGUCGAAGAUCUGAAUCCCAAUAAAGCGGAAACAACACUCGUCGCCGCUGUUCGUGGCCAAACAUUGUUUUAAAAUUCUAACGAGACCGUCGGCGUGUGUUUAUCAAAGCCUCUUUCCAAUGACCGUGCAAAGUACACGCAGGCGAAGUGAGAUUCCUUGACCUGUGUAUGCACCUGUGUUAAUUCA